rnacentral:rRNA from 1 species
GACGAACGCUGGCGGCGUGCUUAACACAUGCAAGUCGAACGGCAAGGCCCUGCUUUUGUGGGGUGCUCGAGUGGCGAACGGGUGAGUAACACGUGAGUAACCUGCCCUUGACUUUGGGAUAACUUCAGGAAACUGGGGCUAAUAUCGGAUAGGAGCUCCUGCUGCAUGGUGGGGGUUGGAAAGUUUCGGCGGUUGGGGAUGGACUCGCGGGUUAUCAGCUUGUUGGUGGGGUAGUGGCUUACCAAGGCUUUGAAGGGUAGCCGGCCUGAGAGGGUGACCGGCCACAUUGGUACUGAGAUACGGCCCAGACUCCUACGGGAGGCAGCAGUGGGGAAUAUUGCACAAUGGGCGGAAGCCUGAUGCAGCAACGCCGCGUGCGGGAUGACGGCCUUCGGGUUGUAAACCGCUUUCGCCUGUGACGAAGCGUGAGUGACGGUAAUGGGUAAAGAAGCACCGGCUAACUACGUG